rnacentral:lncRNA from 1 species
AUGCGGCCGCGGACGCCGCCGCCGCCUGGAGCCCCAGUGUGUGCGCGCGCGUGUGUGCGCGCGUGUGUGAGCGAGAGCUUGUUGGCGGUGCGGCUCACUUACUGCUCCCGCGCGCCCGCCCCCGCCCCCGCGCCCGCGCCCGCCCCCGCGCCCCCACCCCGAGCCGGCCGCCGAGCCCCCUCGCCGCGCGUCCGGUCCCGCCCUCCCGCCGGCCCCCGCCGCCCGCCCGCCGCCCGCCGCCCGCCUCCCCGCGCGGAGCCUCACCUCGGCCGAGGGCGGGGGGUCUCCGCGGGCGCUGCUCGCCGAACCCGCCCGCCCGCCCGCCCGGCCGCCCGCGGGGCUCGGCGUGUGCCCGGCCCCGGGUCCCGCGGCCCCUCCGCGGCCGGCCGCUCCCUCCGCCCCAGCCCGAGUCUCCCUCCGCGCUCGCCUCCCGGCUCCGGAGCCCGAGCUGUCGCCUCGCAGCCCCAACCUGCCCGGGCUACGGAGCAUGCCCAGUGCGGCGCGCCCGGGCUGGGCUGGGGGUGGGCAGGGGCAGGGCCGGCCGCCCGGCUGCCGCGGGCGGGGAGGGGGCGCGGGCGGGCCGGGGCGCACCUCGCGGCGGGGGCGGGGGCGGGCGCGGGGGGCCCGGGGGCGCGGGCGGCGCGGGGAGGCGGGGGGGGUGGGGUGGGGUGGGGUGGGGCGUCCGGGGAGCCGCCUGGCCGCGCGCUCCUCGGGGGUCCCCCCGGCCGCCCGCCGAAGCCCUGGCGCCGCGGCACGUGCCCGGGGUCCGGGGUCCGGGGUCCGGGGUCCGGGGUCCGGGUGCGCGCAGGGCGGCGCGGGGCUGCGCGGGGCGCCGACCCCGGGGCAGGGGGAGUGGCACCUCGUCCGCCGGGAGACGGGCCGCCCGCCGUGGGCCCCGGCGCGGGAGAGGUGGGGGGAGAGCGAGGGGCUCGGGACUGGCGAGACCCGCGACCCCAAGGCGGCGGGCGGGGGUGGGGGAGGUUUAUUGGACUACAUUUUGUUUUAUAA